rnacentral:rRNA from 1 species
GACGAACGCUGGCGGCGUGCUUAACACAUGCAAGUCGAACGGAAAGGCCCUGCUUUUGUGGGGUGCUCGAGUGGCGAACGGGUGAGUAACACGUGAGUAACCUGCCCUUGACUUUGGGAUAACUUCAGGAAACUGGGGCUAAUACCGGAUAGGAGCUCCUGCUGCAUGGUGGGGGUUGGAAAGUUUCGGCGGUUGGGGAUGGACUCGCGGCUUAUCAGCUUGUUGGUGGGGUAGUGGCUUACCAAGGCUUUGACGGGUAGCCGGCCUGAGAGGGUGACCGGCCACACUGGGACUGAGAUACGGCCCAGACUCCUACGGGAGGCAGCAGUGGGGAAUAUUGCACAAUGGGCGGAAGCCUGAUGCAGCGACGCCGCGUGCGUGAUGGCGGCCUUCGGGUUGUAAACCGCUUUCGCCUGUGACGAAGCGUGAGUGACGGUAAUGGAUAAAGAAGCACCGGCUAACUACGUG